CCCCUAGUAACUGCGAGUGAAGCGGGAAAAGCUCAAAUUUAAAAUCUGGCGGUUUUUGCCGUCCGAGUUGUAAUCUGGAGAAGCGUUUUCCGUGUCGGACCGUGCACAAGUCUCUUGGAAUAGAGCGUCAUAGAGGGUGAGAAUCCCGUAUAUGGCACGGACAGCCGAUACUUUUGUGAUACGCUCUCGAAGAGUCGAGUUGUUUGGGAAUGCAGCUCAAAAUGGGUGGUAAAUUCCAUCUAAAGCUAAAUAUUGGCGAGAGACCGAUAGCGAACAAGUACCGUGAGGGAAAGAUGAAAAGCACUUUGGAAAGAGAGUUAAACAGUACGUGAAAUUGUUGAAAGGGAAACGCUUGAAGUCAGUCGCGUCUGCCGGGAUUCAGCCUUACCUUGGUUUGGUGUACUUCCCGGUUGGGACGGGUCAACAUCGAUUUUGACCGACGGAUAAAGGAGAAGGGAAUGUGGCACCUCCGGGUGUGUUUAUAGCCCUUCUUUGUAUACGCCGGUUGGGAUCGAGGACUGCAGCACGCCCUUGUGGCCGGGGCUUUUUGCCUACGUAUCGUGCUUAGGAUGUUGACAUAAUGGCUUUAAGCGACCCGUCUUGAAACACGGACCAAGGAGUCUAACAUGCUCGCGAGUGUUAGGGUGGAAAACCCUUGCGCGUAAUGAAAGUGAAAGUUGGGACCUCCGCGAGGAGGGCACCGACGCCCGGCCCUGAAGUUCUCUGACGGUGCUGCGGUAGAGCGCGUAUGUUGGGACCCGAAAGAUGGUGAACUAUGCCUGAAUAGGGUGAAGCCAGAGGAAACUCUGGUGGAGGCUCGUAGCGAUUCUGACGUGCAAAUCGAUCGUCAAAUUUGGG
rnacentral:rRNA from 1 species